UACGAAGGGGGCUAGCGUUGCUCGGAAUCACUGGGCGUAAAGCGCACGUAGGCGGCUUCUUAAGUCAGGGGUGAAAUCCUGGAGCUCAACUCCAGAACUGCCUCGAUACUGGAAAGCUCGAGUCCGGGAGAGGUGAGUGGAACUGCGAGUGUAGAGGUGAAAUUCGUAGAUAUUCGCAAGAACACCAGUGGCGAAGGCGGCUCACUGGCCCGGUACUGACGCUGAGGUGCGAAAGCGUGGGGAGCAAACAGG
rnacentral:rRNA from 1 species